GCAGCUUCCAGACAUGAGAAGUGUGGUUGAUCUGAGUUUGGGUUUUAUUUGGGUUUUUACUGUUCAGGUGUAACUGAUGGCAUAUCUGAGGGGGAGGUGGGGAGAGAGAGAGAGAGAGAGAGAGAGAGAGAGAGAGAGAGAGAGAGAAGAAAGACUGACUGACUGACUGUAAAAGCGACUCACAAGCGCACCCUGCCUUCUCUGGCCACGGUCUUACUGCAGUAGUCAAGCAUUUGUGCCGUGAUUUUCUGGAUUCAGAAAGAGCUGAUGUCCUCAAGAGAGUUGAAAAUCCAGAGCCCUGCAGCUUUUCCUAAUUAUCUGUCUUUUCUCUCUUCUCCAUCACCCAGGGGACAGAAACACUGCUCAUCACACAGCCUGCUUGAAAGAGUUUCCUGUCUUGUGCACAUUAUCCCUUGAUAUUGAAAUUAUUUUCUCUGUUUAAUCCGGCUCCUGCUGAGAAGCUGUGUGGGAUUUAGGGUGCAGGGUUUGCUCUUGUACUUUGCAGUGGGGUUGCAUCUUUUCCUCCUAACCUGAGGGUAGGUCUCAGCUGCUGCCGUUCCGUUUCAUGCAGAAGACAGCCUCUGAUCCAGGGAAUUUUUUCAGAGUUCUGACCUGAUCAAGGGUCCCUACACCAGUCUCCUCAGAGCCUGGGGUUUUCCACAUUGAGGAAGGGGCACUUGCCAUGCUGAGCGUCAAAUCUGAAGACAACUGUACAUCUCCCCAGGCUGCCCACACUUCUUCACGCUGCUGUUUGGACCGCGCUUUAUGAUUCAGAGGACCAACCACCUAAGCAUAGAAGGACUUGGCUUUCCGUUUGAACUUUGACAGAGGUUCUGUGAUGUUUGAAUUUUCUGUCUGUCUCUUGCGCAAACCCAACAGUGUAUGUAGUCCCUUUGGCCCCCUCCACCCCAGAAUAUCCUAAUAAACACUCUUUUCUUUUAUAUAAAAGUGGCUUAUAUUAGUUACUGUACUCGUCUUGGUGACAAAAUCCCUGACAAAAGCAAUUUAAGGGUUUAUCUCAGCCCACAUUUGAGAAGGCACAGUCCUCACUGAGGAAAACAUGCUGGCAGAACAUGGCCUGUGAUUCCUCACAUCUCUACAGACCAAGAAUCAGAAAACUCAGGCAGCAAGCGCAGCCAGACUAUAACCCUCAAGAUCCACCAUCCAGC
rnacentral:lncRNA from 1 species